rnacentral:misc_RNA from 1 species
UCAAGAAACUCUCCUAGAAAGAGGUAGCCGGUGUCAUAUUAAAUUAUUGCUACAGAAAACAAAAAAGUGUAAUUGUUUGUCUGAAAUGAAUUAUGUGCCUGUAUUUUGUUUCACACAAAAGUUGUUAUUAUAAAUGUUGGGAAGGAAAUUGUUAUUGUUGGUGAUGGAAGAAUGGACUCUCCAGGCCACUCUGCGCAAUACUGCACCUACACUCUAAUGGAAAAUGACACCAAGGACCUUCUGUGUAGUAUCAUAAUUGACAAGAGAAUGACUGAUCUCAAGUCAACAAAUAUGGAGAAAGAGGGACUGAUUCGUGGGCUGAGGACAUUGAGAGAGAACAGAGUGGUUGUAAAGGAAUUAGUGACUGAUGCUAGCACUACUAUCGCUGCUAUGAUGAAAAAUCAGUAUCCUGAUAUAACACAUACCUUCGACACAUGGCACGGAGCAAAGAACUUUGGGAAAAAAAUAGGAGCAGUAUCCAGUCUAUAAAGCAAGAAACUACUUGGCAGGACUGGACUAUCAGAUUUACAAGGAAAGACCAUUUCUGAUGAAUAAGAAUGGCGAAUUUAGACUUCAUAGAUGCUUCUCUAAACGAAGUGGAACAUACAGCUGCUACAAAGAGAAAGUGCCAAAGACAUACACAUAUGUAGAACAGUUGCUCCAAGAUAUUCUGCAUUCAGUAGCUACAAGAAUUGAACCCUUAAGAGCUCCAGUGACGCUUACACCUACAGACCCUCGAAAGAUCAAGAGAAGCGUAUCUGGUAUUACUCCACCACCGACAAAGUUUUUAAUGGCUUCAAAGAAAUCCAGAUUUGAUGAGAAGUGAAUGCAACUUACACAAAUAUAGUCUUGCAUGAAUUGUCAUAGAACUGUACUUAAGGACAGAAAGAUAUCCAUUAUUCUACCAUGUAUGAAAUAAACAUUUGCGAAAUCUCAAAAAUAUUGAGGAUUGAAUAAAUGUAGGGUAUUUCUUAUUUGUUCAAACCAUUUGAGAGGGUAAAUUACACUAUAACCAAACGGAUUUAAAAUUACCAAGACAACACAUUCUUUACUAGUUUCGACCUUUAUGUCUUCGUCAGAAAUAACAACGAACAAUACAAACGACUAGAUACGGAUCAUAAUGAUACGGCGGGUAUUUAUCGAAAACACAUUUCUUCAAUAUGAAGCAGAGAAAAAAUAAAACCCAACAUACCUACAUGACAAAUUUUGAAGUAUACAUGUGAAGCAUAAGCGAGAAUCAACGAUAGAUCUACUUAUAAUUAGAUAAAUAGUAAAAUAACAUUAAUUUAAAAGCGAACCACACAUAUAUAAUUACAGAAACAAUCAAAAAAAUAAAAAAACUUUCAUUAAAAUACGAUUAAAGACAAAAUGCAGUCAAACGGCGGAAAAGGGACCUUGAAGCAGUAAUAAGGGGAGGUAAUAAAACCUUAUCCAAACCAAAGAGCAAACGUCUUGAAUCCACAUGCAGUUUGUUUUCUUUGUAAGUUGUAUAUAUAACAAGUGCCAAAAUGUCAUAAACCUAGUCAGGAAAUCUGACCAAUUUUGUAGAACAGGAGAUUCAAAGAUAAGCUAUUUGAUCAGUAAAGUAGGCAUGUACACCAUAGUCAUUUUAAUAGUGACUUAAUUACACAAGAAGGCAUAUUUCUUCUUGCUGGAGUCUAUACCUGAUCAAUAAUGGACUUACUUUCAAAAUGGCUGCAUUUUAUAUCUGGCAUACUAGAUGUAUUUGUUCAGCUAAUGAUAAAAAAUACUCCAUUUAAUAAGAGGACAUACGACAUCAUGGUGUAUGAUACAUGAUACAAUCUCAUGAUACAGACUGUUACAGUCCAAAAAGUUUGUAUCAGACAGAUUAACCAGUUAAUGGGCAAUACGGUCAAACUUGUGUAUAAAUACUACCCUUGUGAAAGACAAAUGGUCUUUUUUCAUGGGUUAAAAUACACUGUAAAUGUUAUAAUUUAGAAACAAAACUUGGUCCCUGGAGCCAGGUAGUCUCUUUUAACCCUUAUCAUGCUGGACACAACUGAUUCCGCCUUUUCAACCAGUGUAGAUCAUGAUCAGCCAGCACAUCCAUGUAGUCUGAUCAUCAUCUGCACGGUAUACCAUUCAGUCAAAAUGUUUGGUAAGCACCCAUUUUAACAGUUAAUGGUAAUGCCGUAAUUGAAAGAUGGACUAGUUCAUUACAUAAAUUUACCAUGGUAAGGUGGUCUUUAAAAACAAGUUUGACUGUAAAUGAUUUCUGGAGUACUCAUGAGGCAGAAGCCUCUGGCUACAGUAUACUAACCGUACUUAUGGAUUUUUACCGAGAAAUAGUGAAACACAAUUUCUAUUUUCGGCUUGGUCUGGCUUGUAAGGGAUGGAAUAACGAGUCUCAUGUUAACGUUUUUGUUCAUUCAAUAGCUAGACAUGUUGGUAUGAUGGACUUUAUUUGUACAUGGCCCCUAUUGAUUUCAAUGUCACUGAAUCGAAUGUCAAGAUUACAAUGACCUGAACAUUG